UUCAAAUGCGCUUUUUGCUAAAUUUUCAGUCAGUUUUUUUUUAAAUAGUAAAAUGACCAUUUUUGUAAGAUUAGAAAUGGUUUAUGGUUACACAGGAAAUAUAAGCUUCAGGAGAAGACAUCCAUGAGGCUGUGGAGGAUCAACCCAGACAAUGUCAUCAUGAUGGAGCACUCCUUCAUGACCUCAGCAGGAAAGGUGUAGAGUCAAAGGUCGUUGCCAAGGCGGCCACCAGCACUCUUACAGCUAGGACUCUUGCCUCUCCUUGACUUCCAACCUUUCACUGAGCUGAAACAUCAUGCUGAUAGAUCAUCCUCUGCAAAACGACUAACUGCACUUAUCCAUGAACUCAUCAUUUUAAAGUGGUUAAAAUUCUACAUCUGUCUGUAAAUCACUCACUUAAAGCAUAGCAGUACUAAAAUUAGAUCCCUGAGAGCUCUCUUAAUUCCAGAGAUUGAUGCUUUGAGACAACAGGGUCAUACCCUACAACAAUAGAUCAAAUGAAAUAAGCAUUGUCCACUAUUUCCUUGGCAAGUUCAUUAAACUUUGUUGGAUAAACACAAAAAGCAGGCCUUGAGAGAAACAGCACAAACAUUAUCCAGAGUAAUCAGACCUGGCAUUUUAGCCAAAUUAAGUGUAAUCAAUUAGUGAUCAGUCCAAAAUAAAUUAUUCAAUUAUUUUGGAGUGGUUUAUUUCAUCAAGCAAAGUUUAAGUUCAUUGUCUUGAUUUUUUUAAAUUUUUUGCUUCUAAUUUAUGGCACCUUAUUUGAAUACCAAUGCCAUUCAGGGGUCUCCUGAGUCGAUUAUUGGCAGCAUUCAGGACAGGAGCUCAUCCCACAGGACUGCAGUCUAUAAGGGGAAUGUGUGUGCGCUGCGCCUCCUUACCGUGAAAAGUGUGUAUCUGAGCAGUGAGCUGCACGCUGAACUCAGGCAGGUGGGGUUUCAUUCGCCAAUUGUUCUAUGACCUGUGACCUAUUACCUUUGGGCAAAUGCAGUAAUAAUUGUUGUCUACUGCAUGCAUGCAGUGCAGAGAUUUGACGCACCCAAACAUCUGUGGCUUCAUCGGGGCGUGCCUAGAGCCCCC
rnacentral:lncRNA from 1 species